rfam:Spinacia oleracea cultivar SynViroflay scaffold25060.con0002.1, whole genome shotgun sequence.
AAGUGGAGAGCUUGUCAAGAUAGCCAAGGAGACUGCCUGGCACUGUAUCACGAGGACCCUAAAGUUUAUACUACCCUCAGCUCGUUUAGAUUCAGUAGUCACGUUAAUUAUACAUCAUCAAUGUGACUAUUGAUUCAAAACGGAAACAUUAUUUAGAUUUAAGGCCCUCGAAAUAAAAGAAGCAGGCAAGUCAUCCUUGGCUACCAAACAAUAGAACACUCAACU